AAUAAGUGUAGUUUUGAACUGUUCAUGUCUAACGUUUGACCGUUCGUCUUAUUUAAAUUUUUUUAGAUUAAUAUUUUUAUUGUUACUAGAUGAUAAAACAUGAAUAAUACUUUAUGUGUGACUAACUUUUAAAAUUUUUUUCAUAAAUUUUUUAAAUAAGACGGACGGUCAAACGUUGAACAUGGAUUUUCACGGCUGCACUUAUU
rfam:Oryza sativa (indica cultivar-group) chromosome 12, whole genome shotgun sequence.